rnacentral:rRNA from 1 species
UACGUAGGGUGCAAGCGUUAAUCGGAAUUACUGGGCGUAAAGCGUGCGCAGGCGGUUUGUUAAGUCCGUUGUGAAAGCCCCGAGCUCAACUUGGGAAUUGCAGUGGAUACUGGCAGGCUGGAGUACGGUAGAGGAAGGUGGAAUUCCCGGUGUAGCAGUGAAAUGCGUAGAGAUCGGGAGGAGCACCAGUGGCGAAGGCGGCCUUCUGGACCAGUACUGACGCUCAUGCACGAAAGCGUGGGGAGCAAACAGG